AGUCCCAGCCCACCAGAGUCCCUCCGGGAGAGAGCAGCGCGCAGAUCCUUCAGUGUUUGUGAGUGGGAUAGAGAGAGUGAGAGAAGGCGGUGUGUCAUUCUGGCAGGACGCACAGGAGAAACAACUGGACUUGUUGAAGCUGCUCUGAUUUUCUUCGUAAUAGUUUGUUUAGCGGUGCUCGCGGAUACAAAAACAUUAUUGGUUUUAGUCGUUUGAUGUUGCAACGCGUCGCAUGCUGCCGAUUCCCACUGGCGUGAACGCGCGCAAAGUGCCGGGAGACACAACAAACACGAGGAGGGGGUUGUGUUGGUGCCAGGCUCGCUGGCAGACUACCAUGGCCUUGAGCGAUACAAGUGGCGACCCUUUGGCCCUCGGCUGCAGAAACCAACAUCCUCUUGUUGCCAAAGGAAGCGCUCACUCAGGCACCAGCACGGCAGUCGGCAGCAGUCGGGACCCACUUACAGCUGCUUCCAGUCCUGAUGACCACCCAGCGGAAGGAGGUGAAGACGCUACGGUUUUGGCUGAAGCCCAAACUUUGCAGCAGAGGUCGCACGGCGUCCAGAGAGCCGACAGGCCGUGUCAAAAUGGUGGCACGCUCAAACAAAACGGCACUCCGAGGAGCAUUGCGCCGUCGCCUUCCUCCUUCCCCGCUCCAGACGCCAAAAGAGGGGUUGGUCACCACUAUUCCUCCCCGACAUGUUCUCCUCCUCUCCAGCCUGUCUCCUGCCAGCACUGCCACCUCCACUCCGCCCUGUGCUGCCCCUGCGGGCAGCAGGAUUGCCCGAUUUUCAAAAGCCAGGGGACGAGUUCGGGAUCCAGCUCCAGUCCCAGUCCCGGAUCACACCCAGGAACUGCUUCAUGCUGCCUGUCCGCCUGCACCUACUGUCAUCUGCAUCCUCAUCACCCAUCGCCACAGCUCUCCCUGCAUCAUCACCAGCGCUGGCAGGAGCACCUCCAGAGCCAAACACAAGCAGCGGGCAUCAGGUAGGUUCUCCUCGUCUCUCAUGAUCCCAGGCUUUCAAUGCUAAAGUGGUGCAAAUCUUGCUCCAGGCGUUCUCUUUCACAGCUCAAUUCCUAUUUAUGAAAGACUGGGUGCCAAAUAAUUCUGGCCGGGCACACGAUCAGGGAAAAGGGAUGUUGUUCAUUCACCGCAACCAAAUCUGAGUCCCUGAUUGGUCAAAGUUCAACUUAGUUUAACUUUUAAUGCGCGCUCAAUAGCUGCAUGUUUUGUACGUAGAUUCCAGAAACUAUUGCAAAAACGUGGAUAACUAUGCUUCAUUUAUCAACAGUUUUGAAUGCAGAAGCCCAAAACAUACGUCUAUAUUGACUUUUCAUUGGAAGUGGCCGCUUAAAUGUGAUUUCAGUGUGAACGAAGCUUUAAACAAAAUAAAUCACAUGAAGGAUUUUUAAUGUAGAUUUAAAACUUUUUGCUGAAAUAAGAACUGAAAGCAUAAAAAUUUGUAGAUUAUUGUAGAUUUUCC
rnacentral:lncRNA from 1 species